rnacentral:lncRNA from 1 species
AAAGCAUUGUCUUUUAAUUGAGCUGGUGGAGAAGAAGGAGUAGCGGUGAUUACAAGGCCUGCAGAUCUUCGUUUACAAGAGCUGCCUUCCUGCGAUCUGUCUCCAUCGGGCAGAAGCAUCCAAGCUGGCCACGAGAGGCAAAGCAGAGCCGCUGUCUGCAGAGCACGUGGGGGCACGGCUGCGUGUGCACCGCUCCGCUGCCAUCCUGGCUGCUGCAAGUUCCCCUGCUCCAGCUGGGGGUGGAAUCGCUGUGAAGUAGCACAGAGUAAGGCAGGGCUUGCUCGCGUGUCCCAGCUGCUGAUCACAGACGUUUGUCGUCGCCGUGGUGUGUGUGGAUGGGGCAGAACAACAUGCAGUCAUACUCUGUUUGCCAUAAUGACAACCUGAGCGAGCAGCUUCACCAAAACCCCAUCAUCGGUGAAGGUCUGACCGCAGCGGCCUCCUGCACAUCUCACACCGCUAAAUGUCAGUCCUCCGAGAAGAACCUGAAGGCAUGUGGGACGUUCAGCUCUCCGCUGUCUUUCAGGUAAGCAAAUUUAAACAUGUAACUUUGUCUGACAGUUCCAAUUAGUAUUCUUUUAACUGCACAACAAGAGAGGAAGGAAAAAAAAAGAGAUUUAUCACAAAAGAUUAUUUUGGGGGAAGAGGGAGGAGGACGGGGGAACUCUAGAAUGUUUUAUUUAUGGGAAUACUGCAAAUUACCUUAAUAAAUUCCUUUACUAAGCUGUGUCA